rfam:Rattus norvegicus chromosome 4, whole genome shotgun sequence.
GGGGAUUUAGCUCAGUGGUAGAGCACUUGCCUAGCAAGCACAAGGUCCUGGGUUUGGUCCCCAGCUCCG